UUAAGUUAUUAAGGGCGCACGGUGGAUGCCUUGGCACUAGAAGCCGAUGAAGGACGUUACUAACGACGAUAUGCUUUGGGGAGCUGUAAGUAAGCUUUGAUCCAGAGAUUUCCGAAUGGGGAAACCCAGCAUGAGUUAUGUCAUGUUAUCGAUAUGUGAAUACAUAGCAUAUCAGAAGGCACACCCGGAGAACUGAAACAUCUUAGUACCCGGAGGAAGAGAAAGAAAAUUCGAUUCCCUUAGUAGCGGCGAGCGAAACGGGAAGAGCCCAAACCAACAAGCUUGCUUGUUGGGGUUGUAGGACACUCUAUACGGAGUUACAAAGGACGACAUUAGACGAAUCAUCUGGAAAGAUGAAUCAAAGAAGGUAAUAAUCCUGUAGUCGAAAAUGUUGUCUCUCUUGAGUGGAUCCUGAGUACGACGGAGCACGUGAAAUUCCGUCGGAAUCUGGGAGGACCAUCUCCUAAGGCUAAAUACUCUCUAGUGACCGAUAGUGAACCAGUACCGUGAGGGAAAGGUGAAAAGAACCCCGGAAGGGGAGUGAAAUAGAACCUGAAACCGUGUGCUUACAAGUAGUCAGAGCCCGUUAAUGGGUGAUGGCGUGCCUUUUGUAGAAUGAACCGGCGAGUUACGAUUUGAUGCAAGGUUAAGCAGUAAAUGUGGAGCCGUAGCGAAAGCGAGUCUGAAUAGGGCGUUUAGUAUUUGGUCGUAGACCCGAAACCAGGUGAUCUACCCUUGGUCAGGUUGAAGUUCAGGUAACACUGAAUGGAGGACCGAACCGACUUACGUUGAAAAGUGAGCGGAUGAACUGAGGGUAGCGGAGAAAUUCCAAUCGAACCUGGAGAUAGCUGGUUCUCUCCGAAAUAGCUUUAGGGCUAGCCUCAAGUGAUGAUUAUUGGAGGUAGAGCACUGUUUGGACGAGGGGCCCCUCUCGGGUUACCGAAUUCAGACAAACUCCGAAUGCCAAUUAAUUUAACUUGGGAGUCAGAACAUGGGUGAUAAGGUCCGUGUUCGAAAGGGAAACAGCCCAGACCACCAGCUAAGGUCCCAAAAUAUAUGUUAAGUGGAAAAGGAUGUGGCGUUGCCCAGACAACUAGGAUGUUGGCUUAGAAGCAGCCAUCAUUUAAAGAGUGCGUAAUAGCUCACUAGUCGAGUGACACUGCGCCGAAAAUGUACCGGGGCUAAACAUAUUACCGAAGCUGUGGAUUGUCCUUUGGACAAUGGUAGGAGAGCGUUCUAAGGGCGUUGAAGCAUGAUCGUAAGGACAUGUGGAGCGCUUAGAAGUGAGAAUGCCGGUGUGAGUAGCGAAAGACGGGUGAGAAUCCCGUCCACCGAUUGACUAAGGUUUCCAGAGGAAGGCUCGUCCGCUCUGGGUUAGUCGGGUCCUAAGCUGAGGCCGACAGGCGUAGGCGAUGGAUAACAGGUUGAUAUUCCUGUACCACCUAUAAUCGUUUUAAUCGAUGGGGGGACGCAGUAGGAUAGGCGAAGCGUGCGAUUGGAUUGCACGUCUAAGCAGUAAGGCUGAGUAUUAGGCAAAUCCGGUACUCGUUAAGGCUGAGCUGUGAUGGGGAGAAGACAUUGUGUCUUCGAGUCGUUGAUUUCACACUGCCGAGAAAAGCCUCUAGAUAGAAAAUAGGUGCCCGUACCGCAAACCGACACAGGUAGUCAAGAUGAGAAUUCUAAGGUGAGCGAGCGAACUCUCGUUAAGGAACUCGGCAAAAUGACCCCGUAACUUCGGGAGAAGGGGUGCUCUUUAGGGUUAACGCCCAGAAGAGCCGCAGUGAAUAGGCCCAAGCGACUGUUUAUCAAAAACACAGGUCUCUGCUAAACCGUAAGGUGAUGUAUAGGGGCUGACGCCUGCCCGGUGCUGGAAGGUUAAGAGGAGUGGUUAGCUUCUGCGAAGCUACGAAUCGAAGCCCCAGUAAACGGCGGCCGUAACUAUAACGGUCCUAAGGUAGCGAAAUUCCUUGUCGGGUAAGUUCCGACCCGCACGAAAGGCGUAACGAUUUGGGCACUGUCUCAACGAGAGACUCGGUGAAAUCAUAGUACCUGUGAAGAUGCAGGUUACCCGCGACAGGACGGAAAGACCCCGUGGAGCUUUACUGUAGCCUGAUAUUGAAAUUCGGCACAGCUUGUACAGGAUAGGUAGGAGCCUUUGAAACGUGAGCGCUAGCUUACGUGGAGGCGCUGGUGGGAUACUACCCUAGCUGUGUUGGCUUUCUAACCCGCACCACUUAUCGUGGUGGGAGACAGUGUCAGGCGGGCAGUUUGACUGGGGCGGUCGCCUCCUAAAAGGUAACGGAGGCGCUCAAAGGUUCCCUCAGAAUGGUUGGAAAUCAUUCAUAGAGUGUAAAGGCAUAAGGGAGCUUGACUGCGAGACCUACAAGUCGAGCAGGGUCGAAAGACGGACUUAGUGAUCCGGUGGUUCCGCAUGGAAGGGCCAUCGCUCAACGGAUAAAAGCUACCCCGGGGAUAACAGGCUUAUCUCCCCCAAGAGUUCACAUCGACGGGGAGGUUUGGCACCUCGAUGUCGGCUCAUCGCAUCCUGGGGCUGUAGUCGGUCCCAAGGGUUGGGCUGUUCGCCCAUUAAAGCGGUACGCGAGCUGGGUUCAGAACGUCGUGAGACAGUUCGGUCCCUAUCCGUCGUGGGCGUAGGAAAUUUGAGAGGAGCUGUCCUUAGUACGAGAGGACCGGGAUGGACAUACCUCUGGUGUACCAGUUGUCGUGCCAACGGCAUAGCUGGGUAGCUAUGUGUGGACGGGAUAAGUGCUGAAAGCAUCUAAGCAUGAAGCCCCCCUCAAGAUGAGAUUUCCCAACUUCGGUUAUAAGAUCCCUCAAAGAUGAUGAGGUUAAUAGGUUCGAGGUGGAAGCAUGGUGACAUGUGGAGCUGACGAAUACUAAUCGAUCGAAGACUUAAUCAA
rnacentral:rRNA from 1 species